rnacentral:rRNA from 1 species
UACGUAGGGUGCGGGCGUUAAUCGGAAUUACUGGGCGUAAAGCGUGCGCAGGCGGCGACAUAAGACAGGUGUGAAAUCCCCGGGCUCAACCUGGGAAUGGCAUACGUGACUGGCGAACUUGAAUAUGAUAGAGGGAGGUGGAAUUCCACAUGUAGCAGUGAAAUGCGUAGAGAUGUGGAGGAACGUCGAUGGCGAAGGCAGCCUCCUGGGUUAAUAUUGACGCUGAGGCACGAAAGCGUGGGGAGCAAAC